rnacentral:rRNA from 1 species
AGAGAUUGAUCUUGGCUGAGGAUCAAGGCUGGCGGCGUGCCUAAUUCAUCCAAGUGGUUCGAACUUCCGUUAAUUGAUUUUGACGUACUUGUACUGAUUGAGAAUUUAACAGGAACUAGUGCCGAACGGGUGAGUAACACGUGGUUAACCUGCCAUGAAGUAGGGAAUAAGACCUGGAAACCGAUGCUAAUACGGUAUUACAGAAAAAACCGGAUGGUUUUCUUUAAAAAGAUGGCUGUGCUAUCACUUCUGGAUGGACCGGCGGCGUAUUAGGUUGUUGGUGAGGUAAAGGCCAACCAAGGCAGUGAUACGUAGCCGACCUGAGAGGGUAAUCGGCCACAUUGGGACUGAGACUGGGCCCAGACUCCUACCGGAGGCAGCAGUAGGGAAUCUUCCAGAAUGGACGCAAGUCUGAUGGAGCAAAGCCGCGUGAGUGAAGAAGGCUUUCGGCUCGUAAAGCUCUGUUGUUUAAGAAGAACGUGGGUAAGAGUAACUGUUUACCCAGUGACGCUAUUUAACCAGAAAGCAAGGGCUAACUACGUGCCAGCUGCCGCGGUUAUACGUAGGUGGCAAGCGUUAUCCGGAUUUAUUGGGGGUAAAGGGUGCGCAGGCGGUCUUUUAAGUCUAAUGUGAAAGCCUUCGGCUCUACCGAAGAAGUGCAUUGGAAACUCGGAGACUUGAGUGCAGAAGAGGACAGUGGAACUCCAUGUGUAGGGGUGAAAUGCGUAGAUAUAUGGAAGAACACCAGUGGCGAAGGCGGCUGUCUGGUCUGCAACUGACGCUGAGGCUCGAAUGCAUGGGUUGCGAACAGGAUUAGAUACCGUGGUAGUCCAUGCCGUAAACGUUGAUUACUAAGUGUUGGAGGGUUUCCGCCCUUCAGUGCUCCAGCUAACGCAUUAAGUAAUCCGCCUGGGGAGUACGACCGCAAGGUUGAAACUCAAAAGAAUUGACGGGGCCCCGCUCAAGCGGUGGAGCAUGUGGUUUAAAUCGAAGCUACGCGAAGAACCUUUCCAGGUCUUGACAUCUUCUGACAGUCUAAGAGAUUAGAGGUUCCGUUCGGGGACACAAUGACAGGUGGUGCAUGGUUGUCGACAGCUCGUGUCGUGAGAAGUUGGGUUAAGUCCGGCAACGAGCGCAACCCUUAUUACUAGUUCCCAGCAUUAAGUUGGGCACUCUAGUGAGACUGCCGGUGACAAUCCGGAGGAAGUUGGGGACGACGUCAAAUCAUCAUGCCCGUUAUGACCUGGGGUACACACGUG